rnacentral:misc_RNA from 1 species
CGACAAUCAAGCAACGCUUGGUGUUGGGCGCCAGGCCCGCCCCCCGCGGCGGGCCCGCCCGAAAUGCAUCGGCGAGGAGACCGACCCCCGGCGUACUAAGGACCCCCAAAAGUUCGCACGUCGGGAGCACCGGUGGCCUCCGCCGCGACCCUCUUUUUUAAAUCAGAA